rnacentral:rRNA from 1 species
GACGUAGGAGGCGAGCGUUGUCCGGAUUCAUUGGGCGUAAAGAGCUCGUAGGCGGUUUGUCACGUCUGCUGUGAAAUCCCGAGGCUCAACCUCGGGCCUGCAGUGGGUACGGGCAGACUGGAGUGCGGUAGGGGAGAAUGGAAUUCCUGGUGUAGCGGUGGAAUGCGCAGAUAUCAGGAGGAACACCGGUGGCGAAGGCGGGUCUCUGGGCCGAUACUGACGCUGAGGAGCGAAAGCGUGGGGAGCGAACAGG